GACGAACGCUGGCGGCGUGCUUAACACAUGCAAGUCGAACGGGCCUUGUCCCCUUUUUUUUGGGGGUGGGGUUAGUGGCGAACGGGUGAGUAACACGUGAGUAACCUGCCCCUCACUUCUGGAUAACCGCUUGAAAGGGUGGCUAAUACGGGGUGUUCUGGCCUGCUCGCAUGGGUGGGUUUGGAAAGAUUCGACCGGUUUUGGUUGUUUUGGUGGGGGAUGGGCUCGCGGCCUAUCAGCUUGUUGGUGGGGUGAUGGCCUGCCAAGGCUUUGACGGGUAGCCGGCCUGAGAGGGUGGGCGGUCACACUGGGACUGAGACACGGCCCAGACUCCUACGGGAGGCAGCAGUGGGGAAUAUUGCACAAUGGGCGCAAGCCUGAUGCAGCGACGCCGCGUGAGGGAUGGAGGCCUUCGGGGUGUGAACCUCUUUCGCCAGUGAAGAAGGUCCUGCUCUUUGUGGUGGGGUUGACGGUAGCGGGGUUAAUGAAGCGCCGGCUAACUACGUG
rnacentral:rRNA from 1 species